rnacentral:rRNA from 1 species
UACAGAGGUCUCAAGCGUUGUUCGGAUUCAUUGGGCGUAAAGGGUGCGUAGGCGGCGCGGUAAGUCUGGUGUGAAAUCUCGGAGCUUAACUCCGAAACUGCAUUCGAUACUGCCGUGCUUGAGGACUGGAGAGGAGACUGGAAUUUACGGUGUAGCAGUGAAAUGCGUAGAUAUCGUAAGGAAGACCAGUGGCGAAGGCGAAUCUCUGGACAGUUACUGACACUGAGGCACGAAGGCCAGGGGAGCAAACGGG